GAUACCAGUGGGAGUCCAGUACGAGAUAGAGCUCCAAAUGGAGAUGGAUCAUACACGAGAUGGGAAAUUCGAAAGGAUGAUAGGUGUUGUCAUCAGGAGGCUAUCCCGAACAAGUCUCAGGUCAUGCAGGAUGGAAAUGGAAUUAAGUGGCCUAGCUUAACUCUCAUGUUUGUCCAUCCAUGAGUAGCAAGCGUUUGCCCUAUAUCAUGGGGAUAAAAAGAUCCAAAAGCUCUUAAAGUCAAGUAGAGGUAGAAUAUCGAGUCGAGGUAGAGAUUAUUAAAAUUUUAACAUCUCGAAUUCAAUCCACAGGAGAAAACCCCA
rnacentral:lncRNA from 1 species